GUUUGGCAUCUUUGCACCUUGAUUUAGGGAGGUAAAGAGGCAAAAGCAAAAAAGAGGGAGCGAGAGGAAGAGACAGAGAGAGAGAGAAGAGAAUAAAAAGGAGGGGUAAAAAGAGAAAAACAUAAAAAUAGGUAUCUGCAUUCUGUAAGUGAGUUGCAGAAAUGAAAGUCGAGGAAGACUUAAUUGAUUGUAAGGACAUCCUGUGCGUGGCAACACUGUGAGUAAAAACGGACCUAGCUAAUCAAAAACCGUGUUCUGCAAUUAAAUGUAUCGCUAUCAAGAGGAAAAGAAAAUGAUUGUUCAAUAAAAAGGUCAUUUCCUAUUCAGAGGAAAAUUUUCACCGGUUCCCUGGAAAUGGACUGAAAUCACAUUCUCCCGGACAAAUUUUGCUGGUAGACUUCAUACCCAUGCAAAACUAAUGUAAGUUGGACAGAUAGCCAUCUCAGUGUCUCUGCAAGGCAGAUUUUCCAGGAACCACGUUUUGUACUGUAAAGAAAGCCAGAGCCAGGUAUCUUUUAAAGAUAUUUAGACUCCCCUGUAACAGCUUGUGGGGUGGGAGGGAGAGAAGGUUCUUAACUAAGGUAAGAUCCCCCACACUGUGUAACAGAGGCAUGCUUCAGGGGUUUCCCUCCAUCCGGUUGUCAGCGUGGGAUACUGAGCUUUAAAGUUGCACAUCUAAAUUGGUGCUGAAAAGCAGAUGUCGUCAGUACGUUUAAAUGAUGCAGCCCUGUUUUAGGAGCGAUGUCCUACAAUCCAUUGACUUUUUAUAAGAAUUAGGUUCAUAAAGCCCGGGGAACUGAUCCAGGAACUGAUUUUGGUGGAAUCUAACAGCAUUGCUACCAUCGUAGGCAAGUAACUUCAAAAUCUAGGCCCUCAUAUUAUGAGAGGGGACAGGAUGUGGCUUCACAUUUGUUAAUUCCACAAAAUCCCGCAGUAGCACUGUAGAAAAGGGGGAAAAUUAGGUAACAUUUUGUGCACUAUUUUAAAAAUAACGUAUUAAUACCAUACCUAUACAAAGGGAUCUGACUACAGGGGAUUUGAAAAAGUACUUCAAUAAGAAAUAACUGAAUAAUCCACAGCUAAAUAAGACCUAACUGAAUAAUCCACAUAUACGAGACAAAUAAACACUCCCACAUGCCUCCAAAGCACCAACAAGGAAAAGUUUAUUUCCAAAACAGAGAUCUCCAGCUUAGUCAUUUUCUAUUCUUUUUAAAGUUUGAAAUCUGACCCAUCUUGACCCUUCAACAAUUGAAGCAAGGCAUCAAGAAGAUUUUCCUUGUAGCAUUUAAUUUGUUAAUGGGAUUUGUGUGCACAUUUCCAAAGACUUAUCAAGAAAGUUGGUCUCAUUGUCAUGAUGGCUGGACAAGGGAGAGGAUAAUUGUGUCAUACAAAAUCUAUCCACGUUCUCCCCACAGAAAUAUAAUUAUGCAUUCAAAACUUAGAGAGGUGGAAGGGCCAGCUCAGAUUUCACCUAUGUCUGAAGGAUUAGUCUCUAUGUCGAUUCUAAUGGUACAAAAGAUCUGAGUAUAAUUUCCUCUUCUGCCUUGUGGUAUGCCAGAUUGCAGAAGAUUGCAUGUAUUAUUUUAAGGUUCUCCAGAGAAAAUUUCCCGAGGCUUCUCGAAAGGACUUUCAACCACAGUACAGCAUUUAAGGGAAAGGGCAUUGGAACAAAAAGAAACAGAGUAUUUAGGGAGUGUUGGAAGCAAGUUUCAGAACAGGCAGCAGUGAUAAAAGAUGGAGCAAACUUAACGAAGGUAUCUGAAGAUGACAGAGGAAAUCUUGGCCUAACAGAAGAAAAAGGCAAAAUUCCCACUGACUUAGUGGAGCCCAGAAUUUACUCCAAGAGGAAAAACUGUGCCAAGAGAGAGAACUGUCAACAACAAGCAGGAGUCUGAGAUAAACCAGCAAGCUGAGUUGCCAUGCUUUAAUAUGAACUUUGGUGUCAUGAGCCAAUGCUGAAGAAGAGAACUGCAGUGGAAAGGGUCAACAUAAAUAACUCUGGCUCCUGGCAGAACCACCAACUAUAGAUUUUGAUAAAAGAUUAAAAGAAAAGCAGUUUUGAUUUGUGGAACUCUGGCUACAGACAAGACAGGAGCUUGUAAGUUGACAGAACAGAAGGAGCUAUAAGGUAACUUUGCAAAAGUACUCACCUUACC